GGUUUCAGUGCUCAGCCUGUGGUACGGCGUGUGACAAAGAACCAAGCUGUACAACAGCAGCUGACAUCAGCCACCUCACUAAGUCAAAACCAGGAGACUCGAGCUAUCAGUGAAGCCAGCAAUGCCAUCUUUGUUCAGAGUCCAAUUAUCAAUUACAAUGGUUGUUCGGAUUCAAUGAAUGCUUCUGGUACUUAAUAUUUUAAAAUAUACAGCUGGUGGCCCAGGCCUGGAAUCCCAGUACUUGGGAAACUGAAGCAGAAGGGGGAUCAAGAGUUUGAGGCCAGCUUGGGCAACAAAGUGAGAGCCUGUCUGAGAAAGAAAUACAGCAAGGAGAACUAAAGAAUACAGGGAACAAAUUCUUUGGUUGUAAUUUCAUAUGAAUUGAGUGAGACCCAUGAAGUCCAUCUACUCUGACACCAUGGCCUGUGAAAUCGCUCUUCAUACAGAAGAGGGAAUGAUGCCGUCCAGCAUUCACUUUUGUGUGCUGGGAGAAACCGAGGAAACCAGAGCGAGAUAGAACACUGCGCCCUGUGUUGUGCCUCAGGAUGUUGUAUCAGAACUCUUUCUGAUGAUGGAUUUCUUUUUUUUCUGAGUGAAUCAGAGAAUUGACUAGAGUCUACAUUAUAUUUAAAAAAUUAAGCUUUAUGUGAACAGGCAAGGGCAUGUGGAUAGGUGUGGAAUUAUUCAUGAAGCUAAAAGGCUAAAGAAACACUGCCUUCUCCCUUUCUGGAAGGACUGAUAUGAUGGCCCAUUCCUGCAGUCCAGGUGGUUUCUUGCUUGCAGUUGCCCUUUCACAGCCACAAAUAUGAGAAGUGAUUACUUGACAAAACAUUUUUAUGCUAUUUUUAAAAUGAGAAAAUUGACUUAUGUGAAUAUUCGAUCCAAACUUUGAUUUUGAGACAACAAAAUGUGUAUCGUUCUAAAUGUCCCAGACACUCCUAGUAUUGACUUCUACCAAUAAAUGGCACUAAAACGAUUUGGAGCAGAGCUGACUGAUUUGUAUACAUUCAUCAUCCUCAUUGAGAUCUUCUACUGCCUCUUUUAAAAUCUGUUGUGGGCGGGGGAUUUAGCUCAGUGGUUCUGCCACCUGCCUUGCAAGCGCAAAGUCCCAAGUUCGAUCCCCAGUACCAAAAAAAAAAAAAAAAAAGAAGUAUGAUAAAAAAUGAAAGGAGCUCCAGUCUUUGCCUUCACCUCGGAUGUCAUCUCCGGGCUUCCGGUGCAGACUCUUCAGCUUCCAGCAUAGAUCCUUCACCCUUCCAUCACAGACCCAUUGGCCUCCUGAUACCGACUCGCAUGAGACCCUGCAGCGAGCUCUAGACCUUGGACUGAAUACUUCAGUCUCCAGUGUGCAAACAGACCCUCUGCAGUCUUCCACACCCAGCUCUGUGGGUGGCCAUUGUGGGAAACUGCAUUAAGGAAUUAUCUAUGGUCCCACGAAGAGGCUGUGAAAGACCCACAGCUGGAACUCAAAUGGGCUACAUUUCAGGAGGGGCAGAAGUAGUCCCAAGGAAUCUGUUCCCUGACACCUACAUAACCACCAAGGAGCACAUGCAGCUAGAGUGAAAAUCAGCAGUGAGAAACAGCCUUUCUUUGAUCUGGAAUUAUGUGGAACUAUGCAGACAUGU
ensembl:lncRNA